UGGUGCUGCCUGCUAAUAUCACAGUAGCUC
rnacentral:piRNA from 1 species